AUUGAACGCUGGCGGCAGGCCUAACACAUGCAAGUCGAGCGGAUGACGGGAGCUUGCUCCUUGAUUCAGCGGCGGACGGGUGAGUAAUGCCUAGGAAUCUGCCUGGUAGUGGGGGACAACGUUUCGAAAGGAACGCUAAUACCGCAUACGUCCUACGGGAGAAAGCAGGGGACCUUCGGGCCUUGCGCUAUCAGAUGAGCCUAGGUCGGAUUAGCUAGUUGGUGGGGUAAUGGCUCACCAAGGCGACGAUCCGUAACUGGUCUGAGAGGAGGAUCAGUCACACUGGAACUGAGACACGGUCCAGACUCCUACGGGAGUCAGCAGUUGGGAAUAUUGGACAAUGGGCGAAAGCCUGAUCCAGCCAUGCCGCGUGUGUGAAGAAGGUCUUCGGAUUGUAAAGCACUUUAAGUUGGGAGGAAGGGCAGUAAGCUAAUACCUUGCUGUUUUGACGUUACCGACAGAAUAAGCACCGGCUAACUCUGUGCCAGCCGCCGCAGUAACAC
rnacentral:rRNA from 1 species